GCCAUGACUGUGCCUGUAUUGGUUUAGGAGUACACAAUCCAGCAUGGUACCCCUAGAAAAAAUAAAUAAAUAAAACCCACAACCUCUGUGAGCAGAGUUACUGACUUUAAAAUUUCUAAAUGACAACUUUUUAAAACUUAUUCGAGUAGCCAAUGCAAGAAAAAGCAUCAUCCCACAAUGUAGACAAUCAUUGCUUAGAGAUCAAAGCUAGAGUAGUAGGACAAGUCUACUUUUUGGACAAAAGGCAGACUGGAUCACUACCACCAGAAGUCUUGGCCAUGAACUUGGAUGAUUUGAAAAGCCCUUCAGAAAAGUUUGUCCACCAAUAACGACAAUACAAUUAUAUGCAAGUCCAUGUGAAGGCAUCACAGUGUACGACAUUUGGCUCCUCCUUGGAGCAAAUGUUGCACCUGCUUGCCAUAA
rnacentral:lncRNA from 1 species